rnacentral:rRNA from 1 species
CCGCCCGUCACAUCAUGAAAGCCGUUUGUACCCGAAGUCCAUGUGCUAACCGCAAGGAGGCAGUGGCCGAAGGUAUGGAUGGUGAUUGGGAGUG